UGCGAAUGGCUCAUUAAAUCAGUUAUCGUUUAUUUGAUAGUACUUUACUACUUGGAUAACCGUGGUAAUUCUAGAGCUAAUACAUGCUAAAAAUCCCGACCUCUGGAAGGGAUGUAUUUAUUAGAUAAAAAACCAAUGCCUUCGGGCUUCUUGGUGAUUCAUGAUAACUUUACGAAUCGUAUGGCCUUGUGCCGGCGAUGGUUCAUUCAAAUUUCUGCCCUAUCAACUUUCGAUGGUAGGAUAGUGGCCUACCAUGGUUUCAACGGGUAACGGGGAAUUAGGGUUCGAUUCCGGAGAGGGAGCCUGAGAAACGGCUACCACAUCCAAGGAAGGCAGCAGGCGCGCAAAUUACCCAAUCCCGACACGGGGAGGUAGUGACAAUAAAUACUGAUACAGGGCCCUUUCGGGUCUUGUAAUUGGGAAUGAGUACAAUUUAAACCCUUUAACGAGGAACAAUUGGAGGGCAAGUCUGGUGCCAGCAGCCGCGGUAAUUCCAGCUCCAAUAGCGUAUAUUAAAGUUGUUGCAGUUAAAAAGCUCGUAGUUGAACUUUGGGUCUGGGUAACUGGUCUGCGUUUACCGCAUGUACUGGAAACCCGGAUCUUUCCUUCUGGAGAACCGCAUGCACUUUACUGGGUGUGCCGGGGAACCAGGACUUUUACUUUGAAAAAAUUAGAGUGUUCAAAGCAGGCAUUUGCUCGAAUACAUUAGCAUGGAAUAAUAAAAUAGGACGUGCGGUUCUAUUUUGUUGGUUUCUAGGACCGCCGUAAUGAUUAAUAGGGAUAGUCGGGGGCAUCCGUAUUCGAUUGUCAGAGGUGAAAUUCUUGGAUUUUUCGAAGACGAACUACUGCGAAAGCAUUUGCCAAGGAUGUUUUCAUUAAUCAGGAACGAAAGUUGAGGGAUCGAAGACGAUCAGAUACCGUCGUAGUCUCAACCAUAAACUAUGCCGACUAGGGAUUGGGCGACUGUGUUAUUUGAGUUGCUCAGCACCUUACGAGAAAUUAAAGUUUUUGGGUUCUGGGGGGAGUAUGGUCGCAAGGCUGAAACUUAAAGGAAUUGACGGAAGGGCACCACCAGGAGUGGAGCCUGCGGCUUAAUUUGACUCAACACGGGGAAACUCACCAGGUCCAGACACAUUAAGGAUUGACAGAUUGAGAGCUCUUUCUUGAUCAUGUGGGUGGUGGUGCAUGGCCGUUCUUAGUUGGUGGAGUGAUUUGUCUGCUUAAUUGCGAUAACGAACGAGACCUUAACCUGCUAGAUAGCUGGGCUCGCUUUCGCGGGUUCUUGGC
rnacentral:rRNA from 1 species